GACGAACGCUGGCGGCGUGCCUAACACAUGCAAGUCGAACGAGUGGCGAACGGGUGAGUAACACGUGGGUGAUCUGCCUUGCACCUCGGGAUCAGCUUGGGAAAAUGGGUCUAAUACCGGAUAGUGCAAGAUGAGCUCGCGGCCUAUUGGCUUGUUGGUGGGGGAUUGGCGACAAAGGCGCGACGGGUAGCCGGCCUGAGUGGGUUGACGGCCACAUUGGGACUGAGAGACGGCCCAGACUCCUACGGGAGGCAGCAGUGGGGAAUAUUGCACAAUGGGCGCAAGCCUGAUGCAGCCAUGCCGCGUGUAUGAAGAAGGCCUUCGGGUUGUAAAGUACUUUCAGCGGGGAGGCGUUACCCGCAGAAGAAGCACCGGCUAACGCCGUGCCAGCAGCCGCGGUAAUUC
rnacentral:rRNA from 1 species